rnacentral:tRNA from 1 species
GCGGAUGUGCUGGAAUUUGGUAGACAGGCUACGUUGAGGUCGUAGUGCUCACAAGGCGUGGAGGUUCAAGUCCUCUCAUCCGCACCA